GGCAGGAAAAGCAGAGCAAGACAGAAAGGACGGUGAGAGAAGAAAAAGGAGGAGGCAGCGCCGGCGGGGUGAAGGACGGUGUAAAUCUAAUGAUGGCACGCUGAGAGAAAAACACAGAGAGAAAAAAGGCAGAGUGCACCGGCAGAUCAUCACACAUCAUCUGUGAUAGUGGAGUAAUCAAAGAGAGGCUACAUGAAGAGGAAAAUUAGCCCCUCACUUUGUGCAAGACACUUAGACACCAAGAGACUCGCGGUAACAUUUGUCACACAUGCUGGUGGAGAAGAGUAAAGGCUCACAUGGGAUGCGAGCGCAGUGAUUAUUUAAAAAAUGGAUAAUGGAUUCACAGUUCACGGGUCAAGCCAUCAUCAAGCACUGCUUUCAUCAUCCAGCAUCACAUUCACGUGAAAGAAAUUCAAAACAACAGGUAAAUGAAUGCAGGGAGAAUCCGUAGAGUGCUACAUCAAGUGUAAGGAUGGAGAGAUGGAAGAGGUGAAGGAGGAAUGGAUCUGCACUUCAAACCACCAGGAGAAGACCUCUGUGAACUGAUCCAUUUCCCUCUCUCUCUUGCUCUCCUUCUGUCUCUCUCUGACAGAUUUAUUAAGAGGCAGGGAUCAAAACGAGUCCCCAGCUCCCUCCUCUCCUCAUCCCUCACUUUCUCCUCUUCUUCAUCAGCUGACAGCGUCUCCCUCCUCCUCUCUCGCUCUCCCUUUGUCCCAUGGCCCGAGCCUAUAUUCUUGAGCCCUGAGAGAAACUAUGAGAAAUAGGUGAUGAGGAAGGAGAUGAGGAGGAGGUGGAGAUGGGAGUGGAGAGGAUGAAUAUCUUUUUUUUUCUGUCCCUGUGGCCUGCUUUAAAAGAUUCUUUGGUCCUCACACACUCACACAAACAUGUCACUGCUUUCCUUUUCCACACUUGAAGUUGUCUUUUCAUAUCUUUGGAGCAGACUGUGUGCUUCGAGAAAACUUUUGUAGAGGAAUAAAAACCAUAUGUCAAAAUCAGCGGUGAGCACGCGCUUACUCAGGCAAAUGUUAUCUUUCCAUUUGCCUCACUGAUGCGCCGUGCUGCAUUCAAAGCCUAUGGCUUGUCAGAAAAAACACCCGACGCUGACAGAUGGGGGUAUUUCUCAAUCGCCACUUUCCUGGAAUGAUGCUUCCUGUCACUUUAGCUAAAUAACAGCCACCGAAUCAACACAGAGGAAUGUGACAACAGACAGCAGAAAAAGCUGCAGUUGGACCACCCCAUAGUUAUUUACAGUCUGUUAGCAAUUUCCAUUUCAAAUAUCACAUUUAAAUAGAGAGAUGUCAUUUUACUUUUUCUUUUUUUUUUUUUUUGCUGAGGAUAACCAGCAUCUAAAAUUUAUAUCAAACGUAUUCCAGUUUUCUCGAAAAGUCUGUUUUUCUAAUGAGGCAUGUAUUUUGCAGGUUGGAAAAAAAUUGAACCAAAAAGACCAUGUUAUUUUUUUUGCGUGUAUAUAAUGUAUCUCAUCAACUUUUAAAUAUCCCAUAUUUUACCACUGUAUCAUAAAAUAAUUAAAGUUGGUGGUUUUGUGGACAGGGUGCCUCUUUCUGCAUAGAGUUUGCAUGUUCUCCCUGUGCAUGUGUGGGUUUUCUUUGGGUACUCCAGAUACUGCUUAACUGGUGAUUCUAAACUGUAAGUGUGAUUGAGAGUGUGACUGUUUGUCUCUAUACGGCGCCCUCCAUAAUUAUUGCCACCCCUGGUUAAGAUGUGUUCUUUAGCUUCUAAUAAAUUCAAUUUUUUUCUAAAUAAUGUCGGACCACAAUAAAAAAAAAAAAAAGAGGAAAAUCCAUCCUUUAAUUCAAGUGCAUUUAUUCAGUGGGAAAAAAAUCACACAUUAAGAAAUCAUUCUUUUACAUCAAAUCGUGUGUGCCACAAUUAUUAGCACCCCUGAUGUUAAAACUUUGUACAACCACCUUUUGCCAACAAAACAGCACCUAAUCUUUUCCUAUAUACAUUUUCAUCAAUUUUCAGUUUGAGGGUAUGUUUCUGAAAUAAAAAUUGAAUUUAUUUUAAGGCUUUCAACACAUCUUAACCAGGAGUGCCAAUAAUUAUGGAGGGCGCUGUGACCUGUCCAAGGUGUUUCCUACCUUCACUUUAAGUCAGCUGGGAUAGACUCCAGCCCCCAUGACCCUAAUGAGGAUUAAGGGGUGUAUAGAGAAUGGAUGGAUGGAUGGAUGGAUGGAUGGAUGGAUGGAUGGAUGGACAUUUAAAUGGAGAUAUGUCAUUGCAGAUUUGUUUUUUAGCUGAGGACAACAUCAUCUAAAAUCAUAUCAAAUGUAUUUCUUGUAAAACCUGUUCGUUCCCAUGAGAAAAAAAGGGCCACAUCAUUUUUUUGCGUGUAUAUAACGUAUCUCAUCAACAUUUAAGUCUCCCAUAUUUUACCACUGCACUAUAAAAGAAUUAAAAAUGGUGGUUUUCACAGAAAGUUUGAAAAACCCUCCAGUGGAGUUUACAGACUUGUAGAAUUGAUGCCAAUGUGAGCUGAUGUCAUCCUGGUGGGACAUUGUUACAUUCUUGUGUGUGUGGAUACGGUAGGUUGUGUUUUCUCUUCUCUUCCUUUAGAUUACGCCUAGUGGGAGUGGCCAGGGGCACCUGUGGCUCAUUGGUAAUCAGGGGAAAGUGAAAACCUCAGCCACCUGAAUCAGCGUCGCCUUUUGGCCAGACCGGCAGCUGGAGUGUGUGCUGGUGGCUUGGUGCGGAACCUGGACUCGGCUGUUGUGCCUCAACUCAUUCUUGGAACGUUUCGGGGUUAGGGAACUCGAUUCCCUUGUGUGGAUCUUGGCUUUAACUCCCAUUGUAAAUAAAGUUAUUUCUCCGCCGCA